GCUUUUCCUUUGCCUUCUGCCAUGAUUGUAAGUUUCCUGAGGCCUUCCCAGCAAUGUGGAACUGAAACCACGCAUUCAAAAUAAUGCUAACUUGUCAAGUUAUUGAUCUGCACUGUACAUAUUUCCUGAUCAUAGGCAGCUUCCACACAAGAACAUCUGGAUGCAAAUUAAAGAAUUCAAUUAUCAGAUCUAAGUGAUAGAGGAGACCUCGGCUACUCUGCCUGAGCACAUCACUGCUGGAUCUCAAAAUCUGCAAGAACUUCCUAGGGUUUCAGGAACUUUCAUAUGCAUACAAGUCACCUGGGAAUCUUGUUACGAUGCAGAUUCUUUUUCAGUGAGCUCAAAUUCUGCAAUUCUUAUAAGGUCUUAGGGGACAUGAUGUUUGUUGCUGGUGGUCCAUGGUCUACUCUUGAAGGUCCACCAUGCCCAGCUUCAUCUCCCCACCCUCUGGAAACUCUCCUGUACCCAAGCCACUUGCUCUGUUCUAAAUAGGCAUUGUGUUCCCAUGUUCCCUUGUGUCUGCCUCUUUCAACUUCUCCUCUAAAAAUUAUCCAUGACCCCCAAGCAUAAGCCUCCAGCAGUAAGCUCAAAAAAAACAAAAACUGUGUUUUGUUGCCCGGCCCACUUCAAGAGCAGAUGCUCAAUUCCUUCUGCCCCUAGUUGUAUUUGCUGUUACUUUUGCAGGCUGCUGGAACACUUUCACUCUGAGGAUUCUGAUGAACACAGUUCUUGCCCUCUUCACUUUUCCAAUCUGGGUGCAGGCACAGUGGGGGACAGCAGGAGUGCAACACAGUAACUUAAUACAAUAUGGAGCUGCUAUUAUGGAGGGAAACAUUCACUGCUCUGAAAGGACUCAAGAGCUGAGUCUUAAAGAAGGAUUUUACAAGAUUGACAAGAAAAUGGGUUAUCUCCAGAUAGGAAGAAAAAAUCACAAGGAAUAGUACAGCAAGGAAAGAGGAAACAGCACUGGACUUGGGGAAAAGAGAAAUCCACGAGAUGUUGCUAAGGCAUAAAGAGUAAGAUAGAGAGUGUCAAAAGAUGAGGCUGACAUCACCUGACUCCUGCUGCUGAGCUUCUCUGACAUUUUCUCAAGGGCUCAAGGCUUGGAUACCCUCUGAUAUGGUUUAUCUGUGUCCCCACCCAAAUCUCACCUUGGUUUGUAAUAAUCUCCAUGUGUCAAGAAUGGGACCAGGUGGAGAUAACUGAAUCAUGGGGGCAGUUUCCUACAUACUGUUCACAUGGUAGUAAAUAAGUCCCAUGAGAUCUGAUGGUUUUAUAAAUGGGAGUUCCCCUGCACAAGCCCUUUUUGCCUGCCAUGAUGGAAGACACCCCUUUGCCCUUCCUUUAUCUUCUGCCACAAUUGUGAGGUCUCCCUAGCUAUGUGGAAUUGUGAGUGCAUUAAACCUCUUUCCUUUACAAAA
rnacentral:lncRNA from 1 species